UGGCCUCUUUCGAGGCAUGUGCACGCCCGAGCUCUUAAAUCCACAACACACCUGUGAACCCACCGUAGGCCUUCGGGCUUAUGUAUCAUAUACUCUGAAUGUGUCAUAGAAUGUUCAUGUUGCCUUAAAACGCAAUCAAAUACAACUUUCAACAACGGAUCUCUUGGCUCUCGCAUCGAUGAAGAACGCAGCGAAAUGCGAUAAGUAAUGUGAAUUGCAGAUUUUCAGUGAAUCAUCGAAUCUUUGAACGCACCUUGCGCUCCUUGGUAUUCCGAGGAGCAUGCCUGUUUGAGUGUCAUUAAAUUCUCAACCCCACCGAUUUGCUUUGGGGGGAUUGGACUUGGAGUGUGCUGGCGAAGGUCGGCUCCUCUUUAAAUGCAUCAGUGGAGAGAAACUUGCCCCAGUGUGAUAAUCCUGUUGCGCUGUGGUGGGCGAAAGUCUGCUUCCAACCGUCCCUCCGGGGACAUACAUCAUCUCAUUUUGACCUCAAAUCAGGUAGGACUACCCGCUGAACUUAAGCAUAUCAAUAAGCGGAGGAAAAGAAACUAACAAGGAUUCCCCUAGUAACUGCGAGUGAAGCGGGAAAAGCUCAAAUUUAAAAUCUGGNGGUCGCUAUGGCCGUCCGAGUUGUAAUCUGGAGAAGUGUUUUCCGCGUCGGACCGUGUACAAGUCUUCUGGAACGGAGCGUCAUAGAGGGUGAGAAUCCCGUCUCUGACACGGACUGCCGAUGCUUUAUGUGAUACGCUCUCGAAGA
rnacentral:rRNA from 1 species